UUUCAGAUAAAAAGUACUUCUCUCAGACUGGAGAAAAAUCUUAGCCUGGAUUGUUUAAUUAAACCCCAUUGACAACUUACGGGCUAAGAAACUAAAAUUCCAGGUUGUUCAGUGAACGAGAUUUCCUCCUGCCUAUGCAUAAAAGAGGGAAGUUGCAAGACUUUGAAGAAUGCAAGCCACAGACUUUAGAUCACUUUAAGUCAUAAAAUAGUCUCAUUUAAAAUGUCCAGUCUCAUAUAUAGACAUUGUUAAGGUUUGGUUAUGAGGUUUCCUACUAAGGUCCUGAUGAUAAAGGAAUAUUCAGGUUUAUGAUGAUUAGAUAAUGAGAGCUGUAACCAAUCAGUGAAUAAAUUCAUUUGAUGGACUAAUAA